rnacentral:rRNA from 1 species
GAUGAACGCUGGCGGCGUGCCUAACACAUGCAAGUCGAGCGAUCUUCUUCGGAAGAGAGCGGCGGACGGGUGAGUAACGCGUGGGUAACCUGCCCUAUACACACGGAUAACAUACCGAAAGGUAUGCUAAUACGGGAUAAUGUAUGAAAGUCGCAUGGCUUUUAUAUCAAAGCUCCGGCGGUAUAGGAUGGACCCGCGUCUGAUUAGCUAGUUGGUAAGGUAACGGCUUACCAAGGCGACGAUCAGUAGCCGACCUGAGAGGGUGAUCGGCCACACUGGAACUGAGACACGGUCCAGACUCCUACGGAGGCAGCAGUGGGGAAUAUUGCACAAUGGGCGAAAGCCUGAUGCAGCAACGCCGCGUGAGCGAUGAAGGCCUUCGGGUCGUAAAGCUCUGUCCUCAAGGAAGAUAAUGACGGUACUUGAGGAGGAAGCCCCGGCUAACUACGUGCCAGCGCCG